rnacentral:rRNA from 1 species
UACGAAGGGGGCUAGCGUUGCUCGGAAUUACUGGGCGUAAAGCGCACGUAGGCGGCUUGUAAGUCAGGGGUGAAAUCCUGGAGCUCAACUCCAGAACUGCCUUUGAUACUGGCGAGCUUGAGUUCGGGAGAGGUGAGUGGAACUGCGAGUGUAGGGGUGAAAUUCGUAGAUAUUCGCAAGAACACCAGUGGCGAAGGCGGCUCACUGGCCCGAUACUGACGCUGAGGUGCGAAAGCGUGGGGAGCAAACAGG